GUUAGUUGCCAUCAUUCAGUUGGGCACUCUAGCGAGACUGCCGGUAAUAAACCGGAGGAAGGUGGGGGAUGACGUCAAAUCAUCAUGCCCCUUAUGACCUGGGCUACACACGUGCUACAAUGGUUGGUACAACGAGUUGCGAGUCGGUGACGGCGAGCUAAUCUCUUAAAGCCAAUCUCAGUUCGGAUUGUAGGCUGCAACUCGCCUACAUGAAGUCGGAAUCGCUAGUAAUCGCGGAUCAGCACGCCGCGGUGAAUACGUUCCCGGGCCUU
rnacentral:rRNA from 1 species